rnacentral:tRNA from 1 species
GCCUGCUUACCGGAAAGUUAUUGAAUAACCUAGGUAUUCUCUCCGACGGCGGAGGCGAAUUUUCCGCCUUGUAAGCGGUAGGUCAUCAGUUCGAAUCCGAUAGCCGGCACCA